rnacentral:sRNA from 1 species
CCCUAGCCCCGAUUGAAACGAAAAUCCUUUUUUGAAAAAAAAGAUCGAAGUGGAAAGCGGGAAUAAGC